rnacentral:lncRNA from 1 species
UUACAUAUAACAUUUAUUCAUCUAGUACAUAGUAGAAGCAAUAUUAAUACAUAAAUGACAAUCUAGAGAAGUAAAAGAAACAAAUAUACAUAGAUAUGGUUUCAUUCAUAUUAUGCAAUUCCUGCAGCAGGGUCAAGUUGAAAGCGUUCAGAUUCUGAAACACGUCUCUUGUAGUUAAGAAUGAAAGCUUCAGCUUUCCUAUCAAUAUCAGGUUCUGCAACACCCCAUUGAUCUCUGUCAUAAUCACUAGGCCAAACCUUGGGGUCAGAAUCAUAUGAAUCAUAUUGCACUGAUCUAGACUUCUUAGAUGAGAAGAUGUUGAAAAUUGAGAAGAAACUUGGAGAAGACUUCCUAUGCUUAUUACCUCCCAUGAUCACUCAAAAUACUAGCUGUUUUUUGUGUGUUUGGCUAAGUGAACUUGAGGAUUGUCUUGGUUUUCAUUUGACAUGGCAAUACCUUAAUUUAUAGAUGAGGGUUUCAAUUGUAUGAGUGAUAAAUAGUGUUAGAUUUCUUUUUUGUGUGCACGUGAGUUUGGUAUUUUUGCUUUUUGUGUGUACAAGUGGGUUGAGUCUUAGAUUCUACUUGUGAGUUGAGUUUUGAAGGAAAAAAAAAUAGAAAGUUUAAAAGUAAUGAAAUACAUUGGU